GCUAACCAUUUCACCUCGGACUGCUUUCUCAACAAGGGCCAGUACAAUGCAGGAUUUGCUACAAGUCUCAAGAUAAAGCUUGGAUCAGUACCGACUGUCCGUGACCCAACUUUGAACUUGGGAGCUCACAUCAAGUGCAUCUAUACAGCUUCCUGCAACAAGGGAUGUUGCAUGCCUGACUGACCCACUGUAGGCACACAGUUAUCCUUGAAGACUCUUCAGCCUCACAUCAGAAGUACAGACUCUACCUGGCUGCCACGUACUACAAUGAAAAUGCUGACCGACCACAAGCCCAAACAAAAGAAGGAGAACCACUGUUCAAGGUCCAAUUUCCAAAGAAGCUGCUUUGGCCAUCCCCAUCCCAGAGGACCUCACUGCACAGUUUGAGCGGCCUGAGAGGAGAAGGAGGAGGUCAUAUCCAGCUCUGUGUCCCGGUUCUAUCAUGGGGCAGUCUAAAACCCACGUACUGGCAUGUGGCGUCAGGAAACUCGGCAUGGAUGCGCAGGAUCACGCAGGCUGGAAUGACGACCCAGAUUCUGCGACCAAGGAAGCCCCAGCACCAGCUCACAAAGCUCCUAUAGGCUAGAUACCUGUACUGACUAAAACAACUGGACAGGGCAUUUAGUCUUGCAAACAUAUAUCUAUGAUGUGUCUCACAAAUUUUUUUAUGGAUCCAGUGAAUCCUACAGUGCCUCAUUUGAUGUAAAUAAAUACUUGAUUGUUACUAAAGAAAUGACUCCUCUGAAUUCAUAUAUUAUAUGCACACUAUCUGCUGAUAGAAGAACUUUACAAAUCAAAGAGCAGCUAAACUAAUUCAUUUGAGGGUGUGUUACUCUAUUUGUGGUGUGUUAUUACCAUUGUAAAAUAAUGUGCACUGAAGUAAAACAAGACUGCCUAACAUCUUUUAUUUAGAUUGAAACUAUGUUUUAACAAAGAAGCAAAACGUACUGGUGUAUUCCUCUCAACCAUAAAGGACCGUAGUCAGCGCGGUACAUGUUGCAGGGAUUGUGGAGGGAGUACACAUUGAGGCAGAGCAGCUCCAACCCAGGACGGUCUACCAUACAUGGUAAAUCUUUGUCGAUCUCCCAUAGCCGUC